rnacentral:rRNA from 1 species
AUUGAACGCUGGCGGCAGGCCUAACACAUGCAAGUCGAACGAGUGGCGGACGGGUGAGUAAUGUCUGGGAAACCGCCCGAUGGAGGGGGAUAACUACUGGGAACGGUAACUAAUACCGCAUACCAUCGGCUGUCCCCCGAUGGGGGUGGCUAGUAGGGGGGGUAACGCCUCACCUAGGCGACGAUCCCUAGCUGGUCUGACAGGCGGACGAGCGACACGGGAACUGAGACAGGGUCCAGACGCCUACGUGAGGCAGCAGUGGGGAACAUUGCACAAGGGGCGCAAGCCUGGUGCAGCGAUGGCGCGUGUAUUAAGAAGGCCUUCGGGUUGUAAAGUACUUUCAGCGAGGAGGCGUUACUCGCAGAAGAAGCACCGGCUAACUCCGUGCCAGCAGCCGCGGUAAUUC